GGCCUGCUGGCGCAAUGGUAGCGUUUCAGACUCCUACGGCCUUAAUGGCAAGGACCUGAUCUGAAGGUUCUGGGUUCGAGUCCCAGGUCGGUCA
rnacentral:tRNA from 1 species